GGGAAGUGCUGGUGUGGGAAAUGGUACAACCGAGCUUGUGGCCUUGGUUCCUUGUCCAUCUCUCUCCAUCAGGGGUUUGUGACAGGGCCUGUUCAUGUAGCCCUGAAUGUCCUGGAACUUGUUUUGAACACCAGGCUGUAAAUCUCAAACUUACAGAGAUCUACCUGACUCUGCACUAGCCUCCGAAGCAGAGACCAUUAAGAGCCCCCUUCUGGUGAUACGGAAUUGUGAGACAGAAAGAACUGAACCACCGAUCUAUGAUCCACCAGAAUAAAUGACAAUGGAGAUGCGGACUCAGAGGCUAACAGGUCCUGGUCCCUGCAGGCCAGGGUGUGGGCAGGCCCAGCUCUCAAGAGCCAAGAGGCAUCAGCAAAACAGGACUGGAAGGAGGUCACACAGAGUGCAGCUCAGCCAAACAGGGCACCAGGGCCAGAGAGAGCCUACCGACUCUGGCCAUGGACACCACCCUGCCCUGCAUGCCACCCCACUUACUUUGACUGUGCUAAGGUCCAUGGGGUGUUUGAUUAUGUCAUGGUAGUCAUGCAGCUCCAGUGCCUCGGCAUCCACUGGCUUGUA
rnacentral:lncRNA from 1 species